rnacentral:rRNA from 1 species
GCAGCAGUGGGGAAUAUUGCACAAUGGGCGAAAGCCUGAUGCAGCGACGCCGCGUGAGGGAUGACGGCCUUCGGGUUGUAAACCUCUUUCAGCAGGGACGAAGCGCAAGUGACGGUACCUGCAGAAGAAGCACCGGCUAACUACGUGCCAGCAGCCGCGGUAAUACGUAGGGUGCAGGCGUUGUCCGGAAUUACUGGGCGUAAAGAGUUCGUAGGCGGUUUGUCGCGUCGUUUGUGAAAACCAGCAGCUCAACUGCUGGCUUGCAGGCGAUACGGGCAGACUUGAGUACUGCAGGGGAGACUGGAAUUCCUGGUGUAGCGGUGAAAUGCGCAGAUAUCAGGAGGAACACCGGUGGCGAAGGCGGGUCUCUGGGCAGUAACUGACGCUGAGGAACGAAAGCGUGGGUAGCGAACAGGAUUAGAUACCCUGGUAGUCCACGCCGUAAACGGUGGGCGCUAGGUGUGGGUUCCUUCCACGGAAUCCGUGCCGUAGCUAACGCAUUAAGCGCCCCGCCUGGGGAGUACGGCCGCAAGGCUAAAACUCAAAGGAAUUGACGG